UCAGUUUCUCAAAAAAGGUAUGUUUGAUUUAUGUAUGUUACAAGAAACAAAGAGGGCACAUUUUGAUGAUUCUAUGAUUCAUAAUUUGUGGGGGCAUCAAGAUGUUCACUGGGCGGCUAAGGAGGCGGUAGGACCAUCUGGAGGUAUUUUAACAAUCUGGAACUCUGACUUAUUCAAAUUGCUAAAUAUCUUUUAUGGUGACGGCUUUGUGGGGAUUUGUGUUGAUUGGGAGGGUAUGAGGGUGAACAUUGUUAAUGUGUACUCUCCUUGNNNNNNNNNNNNNNNNNNNNNNNNNNNNNNNNNNNNNNNNNNNNNNNNNNNNNNNNNNNNNNNNNNNNNNNNNNNNNNNNNNNNNNNNNNNNNNNNNNNNNNNNCAUAUCGUUGCUAUAAGUGCCGUUGCAAAAAGUUUUGCAACAACAUUCAGCGUCGCUGCUAUUGCUUAUGUUUUCACAACAACUAUUAUUGUUGCUAUUGUAACAAGUAUAUUGAUGUCUUAUGUAACAUUUCUUAACGGCUAAAGUCGCCGCGAUAAAGUAUUAAUUACCAACAAACAAAAUUGCUGCCAUAUGUAACAUGUCUUAACGAUCAAAAUUGAUAUGACAAUAAUUUGUUUUAUAUCAAAUAUUCAUAAGGUAGAAAUUACCACUUUCAAUCUUGAAUCGUAAAUUGAUUUAGCAUAUAAAUUUUUAUAUAUAAUUUUAAAUUUUAUUUUGUUAACUUUGAUAACAUUUUUUUUAUGAGAUUCAUUUACUUUAGUAAUAAAGUUCUUCAAACUUCAUAUACCAUCAUCUAUUUUUUCGAAUGAACCUUAAUUUAUGUCUUAUACAAUGUCAUCUCUUUCUCUCAAACCUUUUACCUCUUCGUGGGGUUUGAAUUUUCUUUUGCGGCUUCAUUCUUCAUUGGAAUCACAACUAAGAAAAGAAAUUAAAUAAGAUGACAUAAUAACAUACAAAAAGAAGAUUGAGAAAAUUUUGAAUGGUGAGGAUGAAUAUAGUUAAAGAGAGAAUUUAUUCCACCUCUUACCUCUUUUAGAAAUGAUAUAUUGUUUCUUGGUUCUUCUAUCAUGUCACAUAAUUUUAAAAGUGAAAUGAUACGAUUAUUUUUCCUUCGUGAAAGUGAGUUUAUGUUAAUAAACUAUUUAAAGAUAUAGACCAUUGGAUUGAAAAUUAUUAACGGCUGAGAAUAGAUGACACAAUUCACACGGAUCACUACCAAGGAACAUGUGCAAUUUUUAUGGUUGAAGGAAUGCUCUAUAUAUAUGUGCGGUUACUUUUGUCAAAAAAAUAUGUGCGGUUACUCAUUGUUUUUACAUGCGGUUUUCUUCCACUAUAGGCUCAUGCUAUAUUAUUCAGUUAUUUAUUUUUUUUAAAAAAUGUUGAAUGCUGAUCCACUAUGAUGUCUUGAACGUGGGAUUCAUUUUUUUUUAUCAAACUUGAACGUGGGAUUCUAAUAUAUAGCAUCAAUUGUAUUUUUUAUUUUUUUUAUUAAAAAAAAUUGCAUCAAUCUCUUCCUAUUUUUCUUUUCUUUUUUGGGAAAUUGGGAUAUUUUAAUAUAUAAUAACAAAUUAAUUUUUUUUACCAAACUAUGUAACUCUUUUUAUAAAAACUUCUUUCGGUGAUUAUUUUUUAGACAAAGUAAUUCACAUUUUAAAAUAUUAUUAUUAAUUUAUGGUAUUUUAGAAAAAGUUUAAAUAUAUAUAUUUUUCUCAAAAGUUUAAAUAUAUUUAUGGUAUUUUAGAAAAAGUUAAAAUACUAUUCUCUCACUCCAAAAAAAAUUACAAAAAAAAUAUAUAUUUUCUCAAUGACUAGGCUUAUUGUUGCCAAAAAUAUAUAAUUCCCAACGACAAGUUAAGUUGUUGUAAAAAGGUUGGGUUAUUCCCAUCGACUUUAAGUUGUUAUUGGGAUAAGUUGUUUUUACCAACAAUAUUAAAAUUGUUGACAAUAUUUUUUUCUAAUUGCAACGACUUGAAAAUAUUGUUGCUACAUGUAUAUUUUUACCAGCAAAUUUAUUGUUGUUAGUAUAAAGUCGCUGUAAAAUGUCUUAAUUCUUGUAGUGGCGGUAGGACCAUCUGGAGGUAUUUUAACAAUCUGGAACUCUGACUUAUUCAAAUUGCUAAAUAUCUUUUAUGGUGACGGCUUUGUGGGG
rnacentral:lncRNA from 1 species